GAUGAACGCUGGCGGCGUGCCUAAUACAUGCAAGUCGAGCGAACAGACGAGGAGCUUGCUCCUCUGACGUUAGCGGCGGACGGGUGAGUAACACGUGGAUAACCUACCUAUAAGACUGGGAUAACUUCGGGAAACCGGAGCUAAUACCGGAUAAUAUAUUGAACCGCAUGGUUCAAUAGUGAAAGACGGUUUUGCUGUCACUUAUAGAUGGAUCCGCGCCGCAUUAGCUAGUUGGUAAGGUAACGGCCUACCAAGGCAACGAUGCGUAGCCGACCUGAGAGGGGGAUAGGCCACACUGGAACUGAGACACGGUCCAGACUCCUACGAGAGGCAGCAGUAGGAAAUCUUCCGCGAUGGGCGAAAGCCUGACGGAGCAACGCCGCGUGAGUGAUGAAGGUCUUCGGAUCGUAAAACUCUGUUAUUAGGGAAGAACAAAUGUGUAAGUAACUAUGCACGUCUUGACGGUACCUAAUCAGAAAGCCACGGCUAACUACGUG
rnacentral:rRNA from 1 species